rnacentral:lncRNA from 10 species
UCCAGCACGUUGUACAGCGAAACGGCCCCAGAAGCCCCUCUCCGAGGCGCGAGUUCGGUUUGGUUCUGGCAGGGGCUUUGCAGCUGUCCGGAAGGUGAAGUCAGCCUUGUGUCCUGAGGAGAAACUGGAGAUGCAGGUCGCUGUGCCCUCCCGCUGCUACGUCGCUGCGCCGGAUCCUGCCAUCCUUCCGCAAGGGGUGAGAGCGGGAACAGCCCUGCCCUGCCUUCCAGGUAUUAUCUAGCCUGGAGGCUGGAGCGCAAGGUAACGCUCCGGGAAGUGGCACUCGGGUCCCCGCACACGGGCGAGUCCUCAGCAGUUCAGUGGACAGACCCGCAGGACGCGGCUGCCAAGUCCGCGAGGCAAGGACCAGGCAUCUUCCCGCGCCUCACUCCAGCCUGCGGACUGUGACUUUCCAUCCCAGUAUCAGACAAGCUCGCGAGUAACUGAACAUCCUUUCCAGUCCAUGGGUGGGGUGUGGAAAGGGCGUAAAACUCCAAAGUGGCUCCUCCGCGGUGAGCGAGCUGCCCCGGGGCUCUGCCUGACUGCAGCGCGAAGCCUGGGAGAACAAACCCAGUUCCCUCCGUCAAGAAAUUUCCAUUUAAGUCCGAGAAAGUCAUAUGAUUGAGAAGUUCAGCAGCGGCGGCGAGGACCCAGUGUCUGGGAAAGAACACCUGGAGGAUGGGGUGUCCAGGACGCCGGCUUUUCGGGGUUCCGACCCCACCCACCUUAUGUUGUAACAUACAAGCUUAGAGACCUGUUGCAAGGAACAACUGACUGGGUCUUCCACCACCCCUGGCACCCGGGUGGCCCAAAGCCUAUGCGCCCUUGGCGGAGAGAGAGGCCACGGUGCCACUGGCCGCAGCCUCUGGCCUUCAGAAACAGUGUAUUACAAAGAAAAGGCAGUUUAAAUCUCACAUUCAGCAUAGGGAAAACUGAAGGGUGCCAGGCUCGGGGACUUCUUCCAACAGAGUGGCUCUUCCCCAAAUAUGAAAGAAAAUCAUCAAAUUAAAUUGAAGGCAAAACUAAGCUUCCACCACAAAGACAUAGCAGAUAGUUGCAAGGUGGAUUCCUUCGGGCCUUUUCCUUUCCUAAGGCUAAAACAAUGCUAAGACAAAAGUCUUCUUGCAGCUGUCUCCGCCCCUCCGAGAUAAAUACUUUCCCAAUUCUCCCCCACCCUGUACACACACCCACGCCCGCGGCAGCUGAUUUCUGUCUUCUGCAAUAGCUCGAUUUAAAUGCUUUGCUUUUACUCUUUAUUAUCACUAUUAUUUGUGUGAAGCCCUCUCGCCUGCUCCUGGUCACCAGCAGGAGCCUGCUUCCCUCCCUCCUUCCCCCCAAGCCUCUGGGCAGCAGAAGCUAGCUGGGAGCUCUGUGCAGCUGGCGGCGACGCCAUGUGACUGUGAGCCGAGCACCAUCACCCAGAGUCACUCUCUAGCUUUCCCCUAAUACACUUCACACCCACGCACUGUGGAGGUGCGAGAGAGGUUGCUCCGUGCGGUGCUAUUCGAGGCAGAUGCAGAGAGCGCCCUGGAGUAAGCUCUCCAAUCCUAGAGCUGCGCGGGACCCUGACUGAAGGCGGAGGGGGCGGGAGGGGGUGCUGUUGCUAUAUUUAGACUCCCUAUGGAGUUUCUGUGCAGGGACUUUCAGGGUGAAAGAUCUAGAGACUUAAAAUGACUCGUGUGCCCGCUUUAAACGUCAAAAUCUUGGCCUUUCUGCAAGCAGUAAAAUGAAAACCACUUCCUCUUAACUUAGCUGUUUUCCUUGUUGCAGACUGCUACUUUCGCUGGGUAGGUAAAGUCACUUCCAUCUCUCUGGCGCGGCUGGGCCCCGCGUGCAGGCAAGAAGUCUCAGGAAGGCAGGACACAGGGACACGUUUCCCUGGAAGACAGCCAGCUGUUUAAUUUCUAAGUGAUGCUUUUCUGGGGAUGCAGCAUUAGUUCUAGUGAAACUGUAUUAUUGAUUAAGCAAAUGCCAUUUAAGCUUAAUUAAAAAAUAAAAAAGACCCGGUUACUGGUAGCCGUUUUGAGCUGCUGAGAAGGACCUUUCACUUAUGUCUUCUAGAGUAACCGCCAUUUGGAUACACAGCCCAGAAAAAGAGGGCCUGCUCAAGUUUUCGCGGGUAGUGUGAGAGUUACUAGGAAUCCAACAACCUGGCUUCCUAGUUCACUGUUCCUUCCACCAAUCAAUCUGCAUCUCCAGCAGAGAAUGGAUAAAAUAGCAAACAGUUCUGGGGUUUUGUAUCAAUCUCUGACUGCAACCAUUGGGAAAGACUGGCUUAGCUGAAGUUCUAACCUUCCUACCUUUCAAUGCCCAGAAAGAAAAAGCCAAAAAUUAAUCAGAGAACCCAGGACAACGUCAGAGAUCAUAUGAGCCUCACCAGACUGCAUGAGAGUCAUAACACAGUAGGAGUCCCAGGCCUACCUCACAUGGCAAAUGGGACAGUGUUCUUCAGAACAACCUCUGCCCCAGGGAUGCAGAAAGGAGGGUUUCACUAUGUUGGCCAGUCUGGUGUUGAACUCCUCACCUCAAAUGAUCUGCCCACCUUGGCCUCCCAAAGCGUUGGAGUUACAGACGUGAGCCACCGCGCCCAGCUGGAGAAGAUGUGAAAUUUUGAGAGCUGACCAUACUUUGAGAAUAAUAAGUAGUUGGAUUCUACUGAAGCCCAGUGGCUUUUGGAGGUGUAGCAAUAAGCAGGAGGCAGCAGAAGUAAGACAAGGGCUGUAUGACAAAGUCUUGGCAAGAACUUUGAAUUUUAUCCUGAUGUGAGUGGGGAGAGCCACUGAAGAACGUGAAGCCAGAAACACUACAUGUUACUACUUCUACUUUCAGAAAAGGCUUAAUAUGGAUUAUACACCUACAAGUGGCACACACUGUUCCAAGUGGAGACUCAAAGAUGAUAACGAUACAGUGUUUAUGCUAUAGGUUUGUGAAGCUACCAAUCCAUGGACAGAUGUUAAACCUAACUUCCAAUUUCAGGUACAAAUAUCUGAGUAAAUGAUGGUAUCAUUUACUCAAUCAGUAAAGGUCAAAGAGAAGGCAGUCUGAAGAAGGGAAAGGUGUUCAAUUUUGCAUUGAGUUUGACAUACCUGUUGAGACAGCUCAGUGGAGAUAUCCAGUUGAUGCUUGGAUAUAUGGACUUACAGCUCAGGGGGAGCUAGAAAUUGAAAUUUGAGAAUCAUCAACCUAUAUUUAUAAUGGGUGAAAUCAAUAAGUCGGAAUCAAAUUACCUGGGGAAGCAUGCAGAUUUGUUUAAAAAGGAAGAGGCCUGAGAACCCAACCCUGGUAAGCAUGACCAUUCAGGAUAAGAGAGAAGGAGCAAGUAGGGAAAGAGACUGAAAUAAAGAAACCUGAGUAACCACUGAGGACCACUGCUACAAUAGAGAAAAAGGAACUUCAUUAGGGAAAUGCCUGAAAGCGAAUAAGGUAAGGAUUUUGGAUUUAGCAACAAAGAGGUCAUUUGAAGAAGUUGUUUUUAUUUUUAUUUCCUUGCAGAAUUGUAGAAAUAGAAAUCAAAUCAGAGUGAGCAGAGAAACAAUUUGAAGAUAAGGGAAUGGAGAUAAUUAUUUUAAAGUGGGAGAAGCAAGCAGAAGAUUUAGGUUUGAAGAAGGCACUAUACAAAAUAAUGUUGAUUCACUUGAGACUUGAGUGGCUGUUACAGCCACUCUCACAGGUCCCGAGGCUGAGCCUGCACAGGUGUUUCGACAACUAAGCUGCAAUUUUGACAGACACUAUUUCACUGUCAAUUGUGCGGCCUGCAACAACUUGGACAUCUUUUAUUGAUUUUAUUGAGUACUUUAAUAACAUUUUAAUAAAAGCCAUUAUAUUUUAUUUCUAACAUUU